rnacentral:sRNA from 1 species
GGUUAGCCUGAUUGCAGCGGCAUCCUUUUUACAAAGCAUUAUAAUGUUCUAAACUUUGUGUUUUACUAAAUUUUUAAUGAAAGUAAUAAAACUUAAAUAAUAGACAAGUGGCUUUGUUAAAAGAUAUAGCGGAAAGCAGGAUUAGCU